AAGAAACUUUCCCUUUGGCUGUUCUCUCUGGGCUGGAGGGACAGAGCAACCAUGCUAUAAGCAGCUUUUAGCCAGCUCUCCCCUGGAGUGGGGGUGAAAGUGCUUGAGGGUACCCCACAGGGAGGAAUUCCCAAGUGCUCCUUCCUGAGUUCAAAGCGGUUUUUUUUGCAUAUGGGUGGUGGCAGCGUUUACCAAGCCGAGCACUUUAAAAUGUGGCAGACAUGCAGCUCUUAUGGCAUCCCACUUCAUGGGGUGUGAAGUCAUGUCUCACCAGCUUGUGGUUAUUGCUCAUAUCUUCUGGAGAAAACCAUGGCCAUUAGGAGGAUGUAAAACUUUGCUUUCAAUUGAAGAGCAUGGAACCCUUGUAAAUGUGUAUUCCUUCCAUUGCUUCUAAUGCUAUUACAAUUUCAUGGACCCACUGCUCUCUGAUAAUUAGCCCAGAAUAGGAAAGCAUAUGAUAUUCCCGGGGUUCCAAGCAGAUACUUAUGUCCCUGUAGUGGGGCAGUCACCCCACUCCCUGGCUAAGAGGGGUUAAAAGCAGCCCUAGAGAGGGCUGCAGCUGAGAAAAAGGGUAAGCUGAUUGGGGAAACAGCCAUAGUUGGGGCCAUGCCCCAAUCAGGCCACAGCUGGCCCUAUAAAAAGGCUGUGAGGCAGCAGCUUAGGUAGUCUCUCUCUAGCAGUGGAGAGAGAAGGACUUAGCUGUUUGGGAGCUGAGCAGGGUGCCUGAGGUGGAGCAGGGCUAG